rnacentral:tRNA from 1 species
GCCUUUGCGGUGGAGUGGUCAGCUCGCUCGGCUUGUACUCGAGAGGUCCGUGGUUCAAGUCUCGGCGAGGGCA